rnacentral:misc_RNA from 1 species
GAAAUGCGAUAAGUAGUGUGAAUUGCAGAAUUCAGUGAAUCAUCGAAUCUUUGAACGCACAUUGCGCCCCUUGGUAUUCCAUGGGGCAUGCCUGUUCGAGCGUCAUUUGUACCCUCAAGCUCUGCUUGGUGUUGGGUGUUUGUCCCGUCUCCGCGCGUGGACUCGCCCCAAAGUGAUUGGCAGCCGGCGUCGACCCGAUGAGCCCGAGCGUAUGGGGACUUUUGUCACACGUUUGCGGUGCGGACCGGCGCCUGCUUGACUUUUCUGAUUAUCCAGGUUGACCUCGGAUCAGGUAGGGAUACCCGCUGAACUUAAGC